rnacentral:antisense_RNA from 1 species
UAUGUUAUAGAUUUUAGGGAUUUAAUACUAAUGGUAGUAUAGGACAUAACUUAAUAUUUUAUCCCAAACUACAUUUUAAGGAAGGAGUUAAAAAUUUGGUAGGCACGAGUGGGAUCGAACCACCGACCACCACCA